GUCUACAGCUAUACCAUCAUGAAUGUGCCCAAUCUCGUCUGGUCUCAGAAGCUAAGCAGGGUUGGGCCUGGUUAGUACUUGGAUGGGAGCAACCCUCCUAACCUAAGCAGCUUGUGCAGGCC
rnacentral:rRNA from 1 species